UACUCCUACCGGGGGCAGCAGUGGGGAAUAUUGCACAAUGGGCGCAAGCCUGAUGCAGCGACGCCGCGUGAGGGAUGACGGCCUUCGGGUUGUAAACCUCUUUCAGCAGGGAAGAAGCGGAAGUGACGGUACCUGCAGAAGAAGCGCCGGCUAACUACGUGCCAGCAGCCGCGGUAAUACGUAGGGCGCAAGCGUUGUCCGGAAUUAUUGGGCGUAAAGAGCUCGUAGGCGGCUUGUCGCGUCGGUUGUGAAAGCCCGGGGCUUAACUCCGGGUCUGCAGUCGAUACGGGCAGGCUAGAGUUCGGUAGGGGAGAUCGGAAUUCCUGGUGUAGCGGUGAAAUGCGCAGAUAUCAGGAGGAACACCGGUGGCGAAGGCGGAUCUCUGGGCCGAUACUGACGCUGAGAGCGAAGCUAUCCCUC
rnacentral:rRNA from 1 species